GACGAACGCUGGCGGCGUGCUUAACACAUGCAAGUCGAACGAAGAGCGAUGGAAGUUUGCUUCCUUCAAUUUUAGUGGCGAACGGGUGUGUCACGUGGAAUCAACCUGUAUUUCAGAGGGAGACAACCGUUGGAAACGACUUCUAAUCCCGCAUACUUUUUAACCUCGUCAUCGAAGAUAGAUGGAAGGUGGUCUCUACAUGUAUGCAUUCACUGACGGUGGGGAUUGCGGUUGAUUAGCUAGCGGGAGGGGUAACGGCCCACCCAAGCGAUGAGAAGUAGCCGCGCUGAGAGGAUGUACGGCGACACUCGGACUGAGACACAGCCCACACACCUACAGGAGACAGCGGAGGAGAAUCUUCCGCAAUGGACGAGAGUGUGACGGGGCGACGCCGCGCGAGUGAUGACGGGGUUCGCGUUGCGAAGCUCUGUUAUUCGAGACGAAAAGCCUUCUUGCGAAAAGUGAGAAGGAUUGACGGUACCGGAAUAGAAAGCCACGGCUAACUACGUG
rnacentral:rRNA from 1 species